rnacentral:lncRNA from 1 species
AAAUAAAUAAAUAAAUAAAUAAGGAACCUAAGCAAAUAAGGACAUCAUUUUUUUUCAAACUCGGACACGCAUGCAAAUAAGACGUGUAUACGGACUACGUACAAACAUGACUUGCCAAGGCAAACACGGCACAUGAAAACACAUACAUGCAACCGCACCCAGCACAUGCCCAAAAAUUGAAGUCAGCCAAAUCUGCUACCUAGCUAGCACACUACCAACAAAAUCAGUCUUCCAAUUCAACUACGUAAGCAACCGCACCCAGCACAUGCCCAAAAAUUGAAGUCAGCCAAAUCUGCUACCUAGCUAGCACACUACCAACAAAAUCAGUCUUCCAAUUCAACUACGUAAUGUCACCAAGCCAGAUGUAGUGACGCCCAAGCAACCUUCUGAGUGGCUUCUCACCUGAGUCAUAAAGGUUUCUAAUUGUUAUUCUGGAUCCAAUCUACCUUGGCAAUCAAAGUCUUCCGAUUCAACUAUGCAACGCCGAUGUAGUCAUGGCAACCUUUUGAGUGACUCACCUGAAUCAUCAAGGUUCGUAAUUGUUAUUCUGGAUCCAAUCUACCUUCUGAGUAGCCUCUCGCCUGAAUCAUCAAGGUUUGUAAUUGUUAUUCUGCAUACAAUCUUCAUAGGUGCAUUAUUAAUAAUUCACUAGCGAUUUUGUGAUCCUUUUGCAGCAAUGGCAUACAACAAGCAUAGCGAGUUCACAACAGGAGGACGAAACUAUGUAUUCAAGUGCAAGUAAUGAGAAUAUGAAAUUCAAUCAAUCCUACAGUUAAUUGGCUCUGGAACCUCGGCAUGAUAUUCAUAGAUGAAAAGGUUUUGCCAUUGCAUAUUUAUUAGCAGAUUGUUCUAUUGUUUGUUUUAACUACUAAGUAUGCCGGUAUGAUAUUCAUCGAUGAAAAGGUUUAGUCAUCAUAUAUUUACUUGCGAACUGUUCUGUUAUUUUCUACAACAACUACUAAGUAUGUUUUGAUUGUUUUCACAUGGCCAAACAAUUCUUGCGACUAUCGGGAAGUAGUUUAAUUUAUAGACACAUAUAGAACAAAGAUAAAUGAGAAUCUACUUAUGUAACAAUUUUAAGUUUGUGGAAUAAGUAUAUUCGAGUAAGCAGUGAAAUAUAGUUAUUUUUCAUACAUUAAAAAAGUAAAGGAGGUGAGAGGAUCAUCAGAAGGUUACCCAGUUUACUACUUCGAGUUUGCUACAAAGGAAAAAAAAUUAGAUGAAACUUUCAAAUAAUUAACUCCGCUUUUAUAGACGUCAUUGGAUUACCAACCCAAAUGGAGCAUGUGGAAUCAAUAAUAAAAAGAAAUAACCCCGAACCUUCAUAUUUCAGCCAGAUUGAAUUCUAAUAUAAGAUUAAGUCCAUAAUGCACAACCAUUCCUCAUCACUGGUGCAGAAGUUCAAUGGUAAGUUCAUUAAUGUUACAAGCUCUUCUAUUAAUUAUAAAAAUAUGUCUAACAGAAUUUACUUUGAUUAAACAUGAUUAUGCUUAAAGUCAAGUGUCAUAAGAAUCUAUACAGAUCUAGAUAUACCAUAAACUUGGGAAAUUGUUGACAGGUAUGAAAGACCAACUUUUAUUAUUUCUCAGCUAAUUUAUCUUGACUCAUCUUUAUUCACCAAUCUAAGAUAAUUGUUAUACUCGAUUUGCUCCAAAUGUGCAGGAACUCAACACAAGAAUCAAUACCAAAUUCAUACUCCCUCGAUCCAAAAUAAGUGUUAUGGUUUUAGUUCAAAUUUGAACUAAUGCGAGACUUCUUCUAAGAUAUGAAAUCGCCACUUGUUGAGGAAAACCAGACUCUCAACACCUGCAAUGACAACUUAGUAAAUAUCAGUUAUAGUGCAUAUCUACUUAAUUAUGUCUCUCACUUUCUCCAGUAUGCUAAAUUUUUGGGAAAUCAUUUUAGGAUUUUGUGUUCACAGUAAUAGCUACAAGUGAUCAUAUUCAAAGCUGGUAUAUGUGAUGUGAGGAUUUUCACAAACUAGAUAAGAAGGAAGUUGGCAAGUACUGUUACGAGAGUUGUGAUACAUAUCGAGAUGAUGUAUCACCUCGGUAAGCAUAUUCUACUAAUUUGAAGAAGACUUCUUUCCUAUUACAUUUACUCUACACUAAUAACAAUCGUAUGAUAGUUAUCGUAUUUGACAAUAAAUUAAUGACUGUACAACUACUACAAGUUGCACUUUAUUUGACGGUGAGGCUGAAAAAUUGUUCAAUACAUUUGUCUCGAACUUGCUAAAUUCACUGGAUGAGAAAUAUGAAGAAGCGCCAAAGAUUACAUAAUAAUAAUGUCGACAAACACUUAUUUUCAGCUCAUGUUCAGCGAUGGCAAUCUCACUUUCAGAACAAAAAACUAUGCAGUAAAAAGAACAUUUGUGUGUGAUGAUAGGCUUGAGAUGAUGGACCUGAAAGAUAAAGCCGAGGAGGAAAAUUUGCCUUUAUCCAUUACAAAAGAAGUAUUGUGUUUGUAUUUUCCUAACUAAUACAUCUCACAUAUGAUUCUCAGAAUUUUUCAUGAUGAAGUUGACGCCGUGUUAAAAAAAGCAACAAAGAAGCAUAACAUAGAGGCUAAAGGGUGAUUAAUUUUCUCAGAGUACUACUUCUCAAUUUUUAGAGACACGUGUAAUCUUUGAAAUGUAUUUUUAUUUUGCAGACAAAUAACAAUAGAGAUUCACCUCAGAAAAGGAUAUGACAAUUUGUUUCUAUGUAAGAAGAACCACACGAUACUAAUGGGGCUAUAGUACAUGAUGAUGGGUGUGAAGAAAAAAAACAUAAACAUCACAUGGACUCUGCAAUGACAAAAGAAAAUGAUAGAGAUCUAUCAUAUUAUCGGAUGGCUCAGAGGAUGAAUACACCAAGAUAAGUGUACAAGAAAGGAGAGAUGUAUGCUGGGAACAAGAAACAUGUUGAAGCGGAAGUAAAAACUGCAAUGCUUGAAGAUGAAGACUCAGUUGCCAGUUGUGGCAAAAUAAGAUGUACUGAUACUGCAGCCAUAAGGAGAUCACAUAAAAUGACCAAAGAGGUUUAUGGCCACAAGACCGGAAGUGUUGAUGAAAAAUGCUACAAGAGAAGUGGUCAGUUCGAAGAUACAGUAGCCAAAAAAACCUAGGCGAACAAGGAGGUUACCCACAAAAUUAGUUGAUUAAUAUAGCUUAGACUGAAACUAAGGCAGACCAUAACUGAGAUAGAGAAGAGCACUUGACAUCUACCAAUAUAACGACACGUAUUACAUAACAAGGCGCUGAACGGCUGAAGUUAGCACUACCAGAAGCAUGUCAUGUUGUAAUUACUUGAUAUAUGAGUUUUCUGUUCUUCAUAAUAGCUAUCUAUCCAACAGCCUUUUUCAGUUAAGAGAAUAUUAGAAAAGCUCUGAUAUUAUAGGCAUUUUGUAGAAAAUCCAUCCUAUGUCAACACAUGGAUCUUGCUUUGAAUAAUUACAAGGUUCCCUCAUUUAGACUUGGCGCCACAGCAAAACCAGCAACAAAUAACAUUAAUUGCAUAGGUAUAAAAAAUGGGAAGUAAUAACAUGACCAAAAUUUCUUCUCAGUUACUUCAUCGGAUGAUCAGAGGUUAUCCAAACUAAUUAGUAGAAACUAAAUAAACAUGUCAUUCCAUACACUACACGAUUGAGUUUUCUGGUGGAAACAUACUUGAGUUGACUAGAUUCAACAUGCGAGCUUUUGCUGCUUAACAAACCGAUGCCCAAAUUGACCAUGCAAGCAACCUGUACGAAGAGAAAUUUCAUAAAUAAGGAGUACAACACUACAGACUUACAUAGUGAUAUGGAGGAACUACAAAAAUAAUCUGCACUAGGAAGGAUGCAUAUGAUCGGCUCGCACUUACAUUUUGUAGGAGAUGAAGAGGAAAAUAACUCGAGGCCGUCUGCAACGGUGCUCAGAUCUUGAUGUCAUUUGCUUAUGGCACGAUCUCACAUUUGUCUACAUAACCCCAUAGCUCUCAUGAAGCAUAGCCGCAGUGCAAGUCUCUGCCCCGCUCCUCAGAUCCGACCAUUAUCCAUUGCACGAACUCAUCUAGGAAAUCCACACCCUUCUCCGUGAGCUUCCUUACUGCCCCCUCAACGCCACCAACCUCCAGCACAUCCAUCACCGUCGCUAGUCGCCGGACCUCCUGAUGGCCUCGCUGCCGGACUCGCCGAGGUGGGCGAGCAUCUGCACCCUGAAGACCGCAUCAAACGCGUUCACGCACUCACCCGGCCAC